CAACAUACUUGUCUCACACCUAUCUACACUAAGACAGGGUUUACAAAAGGGAUGGGAUCUCAGUCCACAUCCGGGUUAUACUCAAGAUCCCUCUUUGGAUCAUCUUCUUCUUCAAAAGUCUUUCUUCCCUUCAGGUUCCUCCUCCUCAGCUUCUCCUUAGGGUCUUGAAAUGGUUAUUCAAUAACCAUGAGACCACGUCUCAGCGAGUCCUACCCCCUAAGACUCAAUUAGUAAGCCAAUACACUAUGGGCUGCCUAAACACGGCACGAGUCAAAGGACUUACCUUGGCCUCAAAUUCCAUCUGCAUAUUAGUACAGUUCAAUAGGCACUCAAAUAAUCACAUCAUUGAUCGAAGCAUCGAUCAAAUCGACCUAGUCGAUUUCAUGUCAGUUGGACCCUUUCUAGGUCGUUCAUCCUACUCCAAGCAAUUCCUUUGAUUUAGUGGCUUUACGGUCCCACCCGACCCUCUCAAGAUCUAGUGGCUUUAUGGUCCCACCCGACCCUCUUAAGAUUUAAUUUAGGAAUAAUUCGUAAAUUCACUCCUAAAUUACUUUAGCACCAAAUAAAGCUCAAAUAAAUAAACGGCUGCACUACGAUAAUCAGCACGAAAUUCCGGUCACCGGCCAUCCCGGUUGAAUUUCCGGAAAAAUAAAUAAUUAAAUAAUUAAUUUCGAAAAUUAAAUAAAUAAUUAUAAAAUAUCCAAUUUAGGCUCGUAAUGCCGAAUUGGACGCUGAGACGAGCUUGGAAAAUUACCGAGACUCGUUCCAUAAUUAACAUGGCAUGUCUACUUGCUAAUGUCUAUUUCUAACCACCUAACAUGCAUCAUUAAGUCUCUAAUUUAAUUGAUCUACACUAAUCUAACCACCUAAUUGCAUUUAAUUAAAUCUAACCAACCCUAAGUAUAAUUAGCAAACUAAUAAAGCAUUAGUGAGUAAAACUCACUUGGUAAAAGCGGAGAUCGAAUCACCGCAACGGUGACGCGACGGCGGCC
rnacentral:lncRNA from 1 species